rnacentral:rRNA from 1 species
GACGAACGCUGGCGGCGUGCUUAACACAUGCAAGUCGAACGGAAAGGCCCUGCUUGUGUGGGGUGCUCGAGUGGCGAACGGGUGAGUAACACGUGAGUAACCUGCCCUUGACUUUGGGAUAACUUCAGGAAACUGGGGCUAAUACCGUAUAGGAGCUCCUGCUUCAUGGUGGGGGUUGGAAAGUUUAGGCGGUUGGGGAUGGACUCGCGGCUUAUCAGCUUGUUGGUGGGGUAGGUGCUUACCAAGGCUUUGGCGGGUAGGCGGCCGGAGAGGGUGACCGGCCACAAUGGGCCUGAGAUACGGCCCAGACUCCUACGGGAGGCAGCAGUGGGGAAUAUUGCACAAUGGGAGGAAGCCUGAUGCAGAAACGCCGCGUGCGGGAUGACGGCCUUCGGGUUGUGAACCGCUUUCGCCUGUGACGAAGCGUGAGUGACGGUACUGGGUAAAGAAGCACCGGCUAACUACGUG